rnacentral:rRNA from 1 species
GACGAACGCUGGCGGCGUGCUUAACACAUGCAAGUCGAACGGAAAGGCCCUGCUUUUGUGGGGUGCUCGAGUGGCGAACGGGUGAGUAACACGUGAGUAACCUGCCCUUGACUUUGGGAUAACUUCAGGAAACUGGGGCUAAUACCGGAUAGGAGCUCCUGCUGCAUGGUGGGGGUUGGAAAGUUUCGGCGGUUGGGGAUGGACUCGCGGCUUAUCAGCUUGUUGGUGGGGUAGUGGCUUACCAAGGCUUUGACGGGUAGCCGGCCUGAGAGGGUGACCGGCCACAUUGGGACUGAGAGACGGCCCAGACUCCGACGGGAGGCAGCAGUGGGGAAUAUUGCACAAUGGGCGGAAGCCUGAUGCAGCAACGCCGCGUGCGGGAUGACGGCCUUCGGGUUGUAAACCGCUUUCGCCUGUGACGAAGCGUGAGUGACGGUAAUGGGUAAAGAAGCACCGGCUAACUACGU